UCUUCUUCUCCGAGUCAAAACCCCAGCUAGCAAUGGCCAGCCCUAGCCUUGUAGUCCUGUCCAUGAUCUUGGCCUUGCAUUCCAUUCUAUCCAUGGCAUGUGCAUCCCUUUCCUCUGUUCUUCAAUGCGAGUCCGAGGUAAACUUGCACCUGUACUUGCACCAAAUCGCAUUUGGACAAGGCACAAACCAGGUAGCAAUUGUUCUGUCCAGCCAACCAGCCGUGUUUGGUCUAACUACUGUUAUCGACUGGACUGUGAUUGAUGGACCAAACCCCAAUUCCACCAUUGUUGCCCGCACGAAGGGCAUGCAAGUGCAGGCUGAUGUAGCCGGUCCAGGCUGGUUCAACUACUUCAGCAUGGUAUUCGAGAAAAACUCCAGGUCACUUAUACAUAUUUUAGACUACGGUUUUCGUUUUCUCAGUUAUAUAGCAUGCUCAAUUAGAUACUGAAGAUUGACCACUUUCAUGUGAUACUGAUAUAUAUUACCAUGCAAAACGAUAUCUGGUUCAAUGGAUCAUCAUUCAUGGCGAUGGGGAUUAACGCCAAGUAGGUCAAGGCCAGAUGGCAAUUAUCAGUGGCACUGGAGAGUUUUCUAUGGCGCGUGGGAUCAUCAAGUACAAAGCGCUCGACAACCCCCCUCUGAAUCAAACUAUUAAAGAGCUUAAUAUCCAUGCAUUCUAUGUCAAACCUUCUAUAACGCAGAGUUAUCUGGUCCCCGUUAUUGAAGAUCAUAAGUCAAAAUCAAGCGUAGACCAUGUCAAACGUGAUGAUUCAGCCCAGUUGAUGCAGGCGUGCACAAGGCGGGUACAUGAAGGAGAAUCUACAUAGCCGGAGGAGUAGUUAGUUAGCUGAAAAUCUUUUGUAUCUCUAUCUUCUCUUAUCUCUAGUUUUCUUCCUUCACAAGAUGUAAUCUAUCUCAACAACCUGUACGCGUUUAUGGGCUCGCAACCCCUCUAUAUAACACGCAACACGUCGGCCAGGAAGGCUAAGACGUUUACCGCAA